GUGAGUAACACGUGGAUAACCUACCUAUAAGACUGGGAUAACUUCUGGAAACCGGAGCUAAUACCGGAUAAUAUUUUGAACCGCAUGGUUCAAAAGUGAAAUACGGUCUUGCUGUCACUUAUAGAUGGAUCCGCGCUGCAUUAGCUAGUUGGUAAGGUAACGGCUUACCAAGGCAACGAUGCAUAGCCGACCUGAGAGGGUGAUCGGCCACACUGGAACUGAGACACGGUCCAG
rnacentral:rRNA from 1 species